CCGAGGAGACUGCCGAACUUGGGACCGGGAGAGGCUAGAGGUACUUCUGGGGUAGGGGUAAAAUCCUGUAAUCCCUAGAAGGACCACCGGUGGCGAAGGCGUCUAGCUAGAACGGAUCCGACGGUGAGGGACGAAGCCCUGGGUCGCAAACGGGAUUAGAUACCCCGGUAGUCCAGGGUGUAAACGCUGCAGACUUGGUGUUGGAGGCCCUUUGGGGGCAUCCAGUGCCGGAGAGAAGUUGUUAAGUCUGCUACUUGGGGAGUACGUCCGCAAGGAUGAAACUUAAAGGAAUUGGCGGGGGAGCACCGCCAACGGGAGGAGCGUGCGGUUUAAUUGGAUUCAACACCGUAAAACUCACCAGGGAAGACUGUUACAUGAAGGCCGGGCUAAAGACUCUGCCAGAUUUUCAGAGGAGAGGUGCAUGG
rnacentral:rRNA from 1 species